GUGAAUUUGUAAACAGGAAUUUGGAUUCGCGCUCUGUUGGAAAUGUAGAAGAAGCUGUAUGAAGGGAAAAUAUAAAUCAUGCGUUGCGUGGUUCAGGGCUGUGAUAGUUAUACAAAAAGACUAAAAAGACAGCAAAUACAUUUUCCCAAACGAUCCUGAACUUUGCAAACAAUGGCUGCUUGCCAUUCGAUACCCUGGCUACAAUCCCUAUCGAUUUCACAGAGUUACUGCCUUUACGUGUAUGUUGUGAACACUUUCUAAGAAAUGAUUAUCCGGAAUCGGCAAGCUACAAACCACAGCUCAAACCUGGUUCUGUCCCUACCAUCUUCCCAUGGUUCACCGAAGACACCGGGUCCGAUACUACCGACAAUGCGGCUACAGCGAGCUCAUCGUCUGCUGUACCACCGCAGGGCACAGCAGUGAUAUCACAUUUGAGAUAUCUAGACUCCCUACAAGUGAUGAGUCCUGCCCAGAUACGUCAUUUGUUGGUCCACUUUGGAAGAAUGACAAGUGGAUUGUUUAUGAAUCGAAACUUUUGGAGCUUUUAAAAAAAUGCCGAGAAUGUCAGGGGCCUGUUGAAACAAUGGUAAAGAAAAGACAAGGUGGGAUGCUCAAAAUAGAAUGGGUCUGUAUCAACAACAACUCCGGACACUGGACAUCCUGUCCAUCAAUCCGAGGUGUUCCAGAAAUCAACCUCUUCACCUCGCUUUGCUGUCCUGUUCACAAGACAUUCUUCAAACUGGACAGGGGAUUGAUGUCUGUGGAGAUGACAGAAGUGACUCACCAGGCCACAAUGCCAAAUACACCACAUAUAGCAUGAUGGAAGACUCUACUAAGAGAGUGAUCCACUUUGAACUUGUGCAGAUCCUCUGAAGUUCUGAAUGCUUAUUAAUUUGGCUCUUCGGAUAAUGCAGAGUCAUCAGGGAGUAUACAGUAUUCAAGAAAGAUUUUGGAUGUGAAGAUGGGAGUCUUUUCUUCUUGUUGACAACACAUCAGAAGAAGAUUCUACCACCGCGGUCUCUGUUCCUGGAGAGCCAGGGCGUGUGCAGGUUUCCAUUUUCACUCAGCACUUAAGUUCACUCACCUCACCUGGUUUCUUGGGGUCUGAACUGGCUGCUGAUUUUAAGGUUAAAUCAAACCCCAGCAGACACUAUAGCUGUCCAAGACCAGAGUUGCAGAACUCUGUCCUACAGCGUGACAGAUAGUGUCACAGAACAGUGCUUUUUGGUGUAACCAUGUUUAGCCAUAAUAAUGUAACUUAACAUAAUGUAGAAUAUACAGUAUCAUUAUUCACUCAUUAAUUUGGUAAAGUAUUCAAUUAAGAAUAUGGAAAUGUAGACAAUUGAUUUUUUAAAAGAAAAUGUUUGAUUACUUCUCAUUCCAGUCACAUUCCCAAUGGUGGAUAAAUGCUGUUUGAAAAGCACCACCUCAUCAGUAAGUGAAAUAGUUUCUGCAGGAAAGACACAGGCUAAGCUGGAAUGGUGUUGUCUGAAUUGUUUGAAUUUUUUAUUGUUUGCAUUUACUAUCUCGUAAAUAUGUUUUUAAAAUGCAGUUACAAAUUACUUAAUGCCUAAUUAUUAGCAAUGGGAUGCGCUCAUUAGAUUGUCUGACUGGUCAGUGAUUGGUCCCUCCUGACUGAGUCAGUGGCAGCGUUGCUACAUAUGUUUACCCACCGUAUCCUGAGGUUGAAACGAGUCGCCUUGGAAGCUGAGCCCAGGCCUCAUGAAGAGGGAUCACCUGGGAAAACCCUGGGUGUGCAGCACAAAAACAACAUCCCCUCACUGCCUGAUGCAACUCAUGGCAACGAGGCUAAAGUGGAGCCAAGCGAACCAAGUUCCCCUGGGAAGAGGCCCCAUGCUGGCUUUCCUGAGGGGAGAGGGGGUGUUAGUCCUGGACCCUGGGACCCUGUCAUCCUCUCAUGUUGAUGGCAUCCCUUUGUAUGUGCCCCCCCCCCACCACUGCCACAGCAAAACUCCCACUCUGCUGUGGUCCCUCGGAGCCAAUAUUAUAGCUCUGUUACCGCACUGUGUGGACUUCUUUAGCCUAAUAAAUAAUGCCACCAGGUACUGGUACACCACAACCACUGUAGCUAAGCAUCUUGUUAAUCGGAAAUUUUUAAAUAAAUAUUAAGAACUGUAGAUAGGCUACUGUACAGACAAGUACACUAAAUAUUGCAUAAAGUGACACAAAUCUUGCAUGCAAUGUGUUUUUUAUGUGAUUGCCUACCUGAGCUACUUGAAUGUGCAAAUAAAAUUCUUGCA